CCUACGCGUGGCAGCAGUGGGGAAUAUUGGGCAAUGGGCGCAAGCCUUACCCAGCAAUACCGCGUGAGUUAAGAAGGUCUUCGGAUUGUCAAGCUCUUUGAUCAGGGACGAACAGAUGACGGUACCUGAAGAACAAGCCCCGGCUAACUACGUGCCAGCAGCCGCGGUAAAACGUAGGGGGCGAGCGUUGUACGGAAUGACUGGGCGUAACGGGUGCGUAGGCGGCAGAAUAAGUUAGCAGUGAAAUACCCAGAGCUGAAAUCGGGUGCUGCUUCUAGGACUGUUGGGCUUGAGUGCGGGAGAGGUUAAGGGAAUUCCUAGUGGAGCGGUGGAAUGCGUAGAUAUUAGGAGGAACACCAGAGGCGAAGGCGAUUAACUGGACCGUAACUGACGCUGAGGCACGAAAGUGUGGGUAGCAAACAGGAUUAGAUACCCCUGUAGUC
rnacentral:rRNA from 1 species